rnacentral:rRNA from 1 species
UUAAGCGACUAAGCGUACACGGUGGAUGCCCUGGCAGUCAGAGGCGAUGAAGGACGUGCUAAUCUGCGAUAAGCGUCGGUAAGGUGAUAUGAACCGUUAUAACCGGCGAUUUCCGAAUGGGGAAACCCAGUGUGUUUCGACACACUAUCAUUAACUGAAUCCAUAGGUUAAUGAGGCGAACCGGGGGAACUGAAACAUCUAAGUACCCCGAGGAAAAGAAAUCAACCGAGAUUCCCCCAGUAGCGGCGAGCGAACGGGGAGGAGCCCAGAGCCUGAAUCAGUGUGUGUGUUAGUGGAAGCGUCUGGAAAGGCGCGCGAUACAGGGUGACAGCCCCGUACACAAAAAUGCACAUAUUGUGAGCUCGAUGAGUAGGGCGGGACACGUGGUAUCCUGUCUGAAUAUGGGGGGACCAUCCUCCAAGGCUAAAUACUCCUGACUGACCGAUAGUGAACCAGUACCGUGAGGGAAAGGCGAAAAGAACCCCGGCGAGGGGAGUGAAAAAGAACCUGAAACCGUGUACGUACAAGCAGUGGGAGCACAGAGCAAUCUGUGUGACUGCGUACCUUUUGUAUAAUGGGUCAGCGACUUAUAUUCUGUAGCAAGGUUAACCGAAUAGGGGAGCCGAAGGGAAACCGAGUCUUAACUGGGCGUUAAGUUGCAGGGUAUAGACCCGAAACCCGGUGAUCUAGCCAUGGGCAGGUUGAAGGUUGGGUAACACUAACUGGAGGACCGAACCGACUAAUGUUGAAAAAUUAGCGGAUGACUUGUGGCUGGGGGUGAAAGGCCAAUCAAACCGGGAGAUAGCUGGUUCUCCCCGAAAGCUAUUUAGGUAGCGCCUCGUGAAUUCAUCUCCGGGGGUAGAGCACUGUUUCGGCAAGGGGGUCAUCCCGACUUACCAACCCGAUGCAAACUGCGAAUACCGGAGAAUGUUAUCACGGGAGACACACGGCGGGUGCUAACGUCCGUCGUGAAGAGGGAAACAACCCAGACCGCCAGCUAAGGUCCCAAAGUCAUGGUUAAGUGGGAAACGAUGUGGGAAGGCCCAGACAGCCAGGAUGUUGGCUUAGAAGCAGCCAUCAUUUAAAGAAAGCGUAAUAGCUCACUGGUCGAGUCGGCCUGCGCGGAAGAUGUAACGGGGCUAAACCAUGCACCGAAGCUGCGGCAGCGACACUGUGUGUUGUUGGGUAGGGGAGCGUUCUGUAAGCCUGUGAAGGUGUGCUGUGAGGCAUGCUGGAGGUAUCAGAAGUGCGAAUGCUGACAUAAGUAACGAUAAAGCGGGUGAAAAGCCCGCUCGCCGGAAGACCAAGGGUUCCUGUCCAACGUUAAUCGGGGCAGGGUGAGUCGACCCCUAAGGCGAGGCCGAAAGGCGUAGUCGAUGGGAAACAGGUUAAUAUUCCUGUACUUGGUGUUACUGCGAAGGGGGGACGGAGAAGGCUAUGUUGGCCGGGCGACGGUUGUCCCGGUUUAAGCGUGUAGGCUGGUUUUCCAGGCAAAUCCGGAAAAUCAAGGCUGAGGCGUGAUGACGAGGCACUACGGUGCUGAAGCAACAAAUGCCCUGCUUCCAGGAAAAGCCUCUAAGCAUCAGGUAACAUCAAAUCGUACCCCAAACCGACACAGGUGGUCAGGUAGAGAAUACCAAGGCGCUUGAGAGAACUCGGGUGAAGGAACUAGGCAAAAUGGUGCCGUAACUUCGGGAGAAGGCACGCUGAUAUGUAGGUGAAGUCCCUCGCGGAUGGAGCUGAAAUCAGUCGAAGAUACCAGCUGGCUGCAACUGUUUAUUAAAAACACAGCACUGUGCAAACACGAAAGUGGACGUAUACGGUGUGACGCCUGCCCGGUGCCGGAAGGUUAAUUGAUGGGGUCAGCGCAAGCGAAGCUCUUGAUCGAAGCCCCGGUAAACGGCGGCCGUAACUAUAACGGUCCUAAGGUAGCGAAAUUCCUUGUCGGGUAAGUUCCGACCUGCACGAAUGGCGUAAUGAUGGCCAGGCUGUCUCCACCCGAGACUCAGUGAAAUUGAACUCGCUGUGAAGAUGCAGUGUACCCGCGGCAAGACGGAAAGACCCCGUGAACCUUUACUAUAGCUUGACACUGAACAUUGAGCCUUGAUGUGUAGGAUAGGUGGGAGGCUUUGAAGUGUGGACGCCAGUCUGCAUGGAGCCGACCUUGAAAUACCACCCUUUAAUGUUUGAUGUUCUAACGUUGACCCGUAAUCCGGGUUGCGGACAGUGUCUGGUGGGUAGUUUGACUGGGGCGGUCUCCUCCUAAAGAGUAACGGAGGAGCACGAAGGUUGGCUAAUCCUGGUCGGACAUCAGGAGGUUAGUGCAAUGGCAUAAGCCAGCUUGACUGCGAGCGUGACGGCGCGAGCAGGUGCGAAAGCAGGUCAUAGUGAUCCGGUGGUUCUGAAUGGAAGGGCCAUCGCUCAACGGAUAAAAGGUACUCCGGGGAUAACAGGCUGAUACCGCCCAAGAGUUCAUAUCGACGGCGGUGUUUGGCACCUCGAUGUCGGCUCAUCACAUCCUGGGGCUGAAGUAGGUCCCAAGGGUAUGGCUGUUCGCCAUUUAAAGUGGUACGCGAGCUGGGUUUAGAACGUCGUGAGACAGUUCGGUCCCUAUCUGCCGUGGGCGCUGGAGAACUGAGGGGGGCUGCUCCUAGUACGAGAGGACCGGAGUGGACGCAUCACUGGUGUUCGGGUUGUCAUGCCAAUGGCACUGCCCGGUAGCUAAAUGCGGAAGAGAUAAGUGCUGAAAGCAUCUAAGCACGAAACUUGCCCCGAGAUGAGUUCUCCCUGACCCUUUAAGGGUCCUGAAGGAACGUUGAAGACGACGACGUUGAUAGGCCGGGUGUGUAAGCGCAGCGAUGCGUUGAGCUAACCGGUACUAAUGAACCGUGAGGCUUAACCUU